AUCAGAAUAAUGAUUUUAUUAUUUAUUAAAAAGAAAAAAACAUUAACUUCGGUUGCACCGAAGCUUUAAUACUCUUCUCAAAUAAAAAGGUUUUCAUAGUUGACAGUCCUUGGUCGGAUAAAAAUUCGGGUCCGUUCCGGUUACGAAGACUCGACUGUCGUGGGAACAGUCACUUUGUAUGGCAGCUAUAUGCUAUAGUCGUCCGACCUAAACAAUAUGUUCGGAGAUUGUACCGUCGACUUUAACAAUAAUCCAUGCCAAAUUUCAUGAAGAUACCUUAACUAAUAAAAAAGUUUUCCAUACAUACCUGUUAAGGGUAUAGAAAUGGUAAGGACGGGGUCCUCACAACAAACUUAGAUGCGAAUAAAAUUACGCAUUACAUAAUGAGUGCUUGUUAUUUAUUAUAUUUUUUCAUAUCAAAGGCCGCAAGAACUAAAACAUAUAUUAUACGGUCAUUUGUAUGAGUUAAAGCCGUUGGGAAUAUUUAAAACUAAUUAUAAAUAGCUUAUUAUAAAAAGGUUUAUAAUAAAAUAGCUGAAUUAAAACUAAGGGGUGCUAAUCCACGCCCACUUUGCAACAAAACUUAAAACCACAUACAACCGUCGCAUCUGCACUGUAUAUACCUACAUCUGUUACUACGACAUGUGUUAGAAUACCUCAAUUAUGACUGGAAUAUAAUAUAGUAUCAAACUUAAAUCACAAAACGCAAUUAUCGGAAAAAGUAGAAUCAAUUUUAAAUAAAAUUAUGAAUAUCUGGUCAUCUGCGUUAUUUCGUCAGUUUUCGGACUUUGAACUUGAAACACCUUCGAUUGCUUACAUUCUUUCGUUUAUAUGUACUUUUCAACUAGACAAAAAUGCUCAAAUAAUCAAUGCUAAAAACGUCAAUUCAUUAUCAAUAAAUCAUUACGGCACUUAAGCACUUGCACCCCACUGCUCGCAUACACGCGGUGCUCUGGUUAGGAGUAUUAAUUUACGUAUCUCUGUGAAUUUUACCACAUACAUUGUUUUUUUUUAAUAAUAAGGCGUAGGAUUUGAAGGGGUACACAUGCAUCAACUAAAUACAGUACGCCGUCGGUAAAAGUAGCGGGUAAAACUUCAGAUCGAGGUUGAUGCAAUAGUCGAAUCGCAAAAAAGUUACCCUGAAAACUAAAGUAAAAUUAUAAUGCUCGCCGUCAGACUAGACUUUAUUAUGCAAAAUCACACGCUUUCAGUUCUUUCGCACAUUCUAAGGUUUCACCAAGUGGCAUUUAACAGCCAAAAGAAACACAAGAGGCAAACAAAUAUUAUUAUAUGAUUUUAUCACUGAAUUAAUUUGUGAAAAGUCUAUAAAAUAUAGAAUAUUGGUAAAUAAGGCAUUAAACGAAUGAAGAAAAUAAAAAAAUAAUGAUUUUUAUUAUUAUUUGCUGAUAUGUGUAACGUAGUAUGAUUUUGAUUGGCUGCUAUAACUUGCAAUUCUCAGGAAACAUAACAUUUUGUUAGUUUUAACCUCAUUUUAAAGAAAGAUCCCAAUGUAUCUUUAUUUACUAAUUUGAAAAGAAAAACUCUCCAGCGUGGCCUCUUUAAUUAUUUAUAGAAAUAGUGUUAAAAGUUUCAAAACGAUGGGUGCAGUAGUUUUGAAGUUAUUAGAAAUACUCAUAACUUCGUCAAUCUUGCAUAGAUCGACUUGAUAUUUAACUACAACAUUCUAUGUCAAAUAUUGUGCAUUAAUUUACAACAUUUCAAAACCCUACUCCCCCUUAACAUUUCCUGCACAAGGUGGCCUUUCCAUGACCGACUAUGUGUAUGCUCUAAAUUGAAGUAUAUUUUUAUUUUUAAAUCAUAUCCAACAAAAAUCAUAAACUCACAUGUAUAUCUAAACGCAGGUGUAUAUGUAUGUACAUUAUGUAUUUAAAAAUAGCAACUAACUCCACAUAAGCAAAACAGAUUUGACAAUAAACUAGCACAUUUCAGUAUAAUUAUAUAUACAGCAGCUAUAAGUAUGGGGUUGCUAGUAAUUUUUGAUCAGUUGAAAGAGGUAUACAUGUGUACAAACAUUACAAAUUGGAGAUAAUUGCAGUCCACUUUGUUCUACUAUUAGAGAGAUGAGUUGAGUGUUUUAUGUCAAAUUAUAAGGUCAUCUACAUAUGGCGAAAUUUUUUUGUUUUCGCACAUUAUUGCUUAGUGGGUAUAUAUAAAAAACAAAAAUGUACCAACAUACAUUUCAAUACACAAUAAACAGUGAAUUCCAUUUUUUUAAAUAUAUAUGUAAUAUAUACAUAUAUGUCUAAUUUAAAUUGGUUCCUUUUUCCACCGCAAGAUUACUUAUACGUUAUCUUUGUCAUUAUGAAUAGUUACCGUUCUGAAAAAUAGAGUCAAAGUUUUUAAGUUAGUCUAUUUAAAAUUGUUCUGACUGUAUACGUUGAAUGUUAUAAAUGCAUAUGUUGUUGUAUAUUGAAGUGUGAAAUCCCUUUACACAUAAUUGUAAUUAUAUUUCGCAUUUUGCAAUUAAUGAAUGAGGGCAUUUAGUGACAUCUAUUGAGUAAAAUAGUCAAUUGUUUACUUAUAACAAUAUUAUUUACAUAAUAUUCUUAACUUUUUUUUCAACAACGCAGACGCAAACACGCGAAGAAGAAGCAUAUAUGAGUGAUCGGUAACAAAAUUGAUGGAGGUAGCAGCAGUAAGAGCAGCAGUAGCGAAAACAAUAUGAUUAUAGUAUUAAAAAAAUGUGUGAGACUCCGUCCAAGUGAUCGAAAUAACUGCGACUACAAGCCAGUUUAUCGUAGGCAUGGGUUUCAGCGUGUACUGUCGCACCUGUGCUGUACCGCCUAGAGAUUUAGCAGAUGGAAUGAUCGACAUUUUUGCUAACGCAAAAAUUACUACACUUUUGAGUAUUAUAAAGGAAUGGCAAUUGGACAUUAUGCAGGACGAUGGACUGUCGCAGUGUAUAUGUAAGAAGUGCGAAUUGGCGCUAAUUAAGAUUAAUACAUUCAGAUUGCAAGCGUUGAGUGCAAAAAAAUAUUUGCAAACGCGACUUUAUUCAUUAGAAACGACAGCCGGGGGUGGAGAAGCAAUCGACGACAAUGAAAAUGACCUUCAUACAAAUUAUGGUGGAGUGGAGAUGCAUAAUAGGGAAACCUUACCGCGUACUUUGCAAUCCGAGUACACAUCUAUACAAAUGUGCAAAAAAACGAUAAAUAUAUUUAAUUCAAAUGAGAAAGUGAGCGAGAAAGAACAAUCAAACCAUUUUAAAUCAAGUUUAGAUGCAGUCGUCGAAGAAAGGGGUGAGUUAUCGUUUGAAUCAAAUAUUGAGCCUAGCAGACCACACGAAUUUCAGGUAAUACUAAUUGAAGAGGAGGAGGAGUCGACACAGUGGAUAAACGAAGACGAAAACGCGGGAAUUAUUUCGAUGGGAAUUAUUGAAUGUGAAGAACUUAAUACUGGCAAAAAAAAUUCCUCAGCGGAAGCUAUUGAAACACAUCCUAUAAAUUGGCAUAGUUUCACUAAACCGUCAAAAAAUAAAUCAACUGACUUCAUGCCCAAUAAAAGAAAAUUGAGAAACAGAAAACAAGACCAAAAGGGGAAAUAUUACGAAAUAAAGUCGAACGAAUUUUCUAAAGUUUCAUCACUUGCUGAUAAUAACACACCAGGAACACAAUUUCAUUUCGUUCCUAAAGAGACAACAAUAAAAGAAAUCGUACCUAUUUAUGAAAAAGUAAGCGACAAGACUUUGGAAGAUCCAGCACAAAUAAGUGAUAGUCAAACAUUAUUAGCCACAAUAAGCAGCGGAUCAUUUGAACAAAUUAGAGAGUCAAGUCCCUGCUCAGCCGACGAUUUACAAUCAGUACUUAUGAAUCAACUCACACUUCAGAUGAUCAACGCAAAUUUUAACAUCCUUGAAGGCGAUUUACAAAUUGACGACUUCGAUACCUUGCUGGCUGCGGUUGAUGAGCAAGCCUCGUUAGGCUCGAUAAAUAAUAAGGACAAAUAUUCCAGUUCUCUGAAAAACGAAAGAAAUAUAUUAAAAAUAAACAUGGGUUGUUGUAAAGGAAUUCAGGCACCAAAUAUGGGAGAAAAGAGUUUAAUACAGGCUGCUUCUCACAGUGAUAAAGAAAGUAAAGAAUUUUUAAGGGAAAUGAAUGAGAUAGCUAUCCCUUCACAAACAACAACAAGAGAUCCUGAAUCUAAAUUUAUAAAUCAUACAUCAAGUGGUAAUUCGAAUAAAUUGGUAUAUAAAAAAAAGCCGUUAGACAAUUCUAUUGUUAAUUAUGAAAUAUCAAGUGUAAAAGCAACAUCCGUCGCUGCUGGUAGUUCAAAUAAAAUAACUACAAGAAGUUUGCGCUGCCGCCUCUGUGUAUACAAUGUUUCGGACCAGCCUGUUUUCGCUACUAAAGAGAUGCUGGAUAGUCAUAUAGCUAUAGUACACGAUGAUAAAGAACGGCCAUAUAAUUGUCCUCAGUGCGCGGCACGGUACCGCACGCGAAGCGGAUGUGUAGCACACAUAAACGCUAUACACCUUAAAAAGGGGGACAAAUGUGAGUUGUGCGAUAAAACUGUUGUAGGGGGCGCCGGACAGAUGCGUAUGCAUAUUGAACGCAAUCACACCCACGGCAACUAUACAUGUGAGAUCUGUCACAUGGAGCUAAGGAAUAUAUCACUUUACAAUUUCAAAUAUCAUAAAAGAUGGCACAAUGAAGAUAAAUUAUGGAGAUGCGAGCUAUGCGGGAAAGCAUUUGUCACACGCACACAUCUAAUAGAACACAAAGUGACGCACACGCGACAAGGCGAAUUUCUCUGUACACGGUGCGGAAAAAGGACGCGCAGUAAAUGGGAACUUCGUACACACCUCUUUGCCAUUCAUGGCGAAGGAGAAGCGCCAUUAAAGUGCAACUAUUGUGAUGAAAAGUUCACUCAACAUGUACAAAAACGUGCUCAUCUUGAGCGAUAUCAUCCCAUGGAGUUGGCUAAGCGUAUAGUUUCCUGUUCAAAAUGUGAGAAGCAUUUCUCUACGGAGACGAAUCUUCAACGCCACAUUAAACAACAACAUAAUGAGGUUAAUGCCGAUAUCGAACCCUCCGAUGUACUGACCUCUUCCCCACCACAAUACGAAGGAUUCAUGUGCGCACAUUGCCCUCGUAAGUAUCGCUCUAAAUACGCACUUAUUAAACAUCUUAGAGUGCAUGCCGUGAUGGCAGAUCGACCAUAUUCAUGUCCUGAUUGUGAGAUGCACUUUAAGCACUUCUCAGAAUUAGAUCGGCAUGAUUUGCAGCAUCAUGCUACAGUACGCCCUUACAAAUGCGAUAAGUGUGUCAAGGCAUUUGCUACCAAAACUGCGCUUAAAAUCCACGGACAAGUUCACGAAGUCUGUUACACGCUAUUGUUUGUACUAUUUUGCACUACUAGUAAAGGGUAGAAACUUUCGAUGUCCAGAAUGUAAUCAACGCUUCAAAUUUGAAAAAUCUUUAAGCCUGCACAUUAUUUCUCACAAAACAAUGCGACACAGCUGUGAAAUUUGUAAAAAAUCAUACAUUCGAUUAACACAAUUAAAGACCCACAAAAAUCGUUACCACAAAAAAACGAGUGAGACAGAGGAAGAGUAACUUAUUCAAUCAAAGGACUACAUAAUAUAAACGGACUCAAAAUUAUAUACAAUAUUACACAACCAAAAACAGCGUUCACUUCUGCAUAAUACCCAAACUAUUAGCUCAGUAUUAUGGCUACUAUAAAAACGUUGUGAAAAAAAUUAUAAAUAAUUAUGUGUCAAACAAACGUAGUCUUAAAUAUGAGUAGGCUUUUACAUUUAUUAUAAAUCAAAACUAUUAAUGAGUAUGUACUUACAUUAUAAAUUAAUGAUACAGAAUAAAUGUGAAACUAUUCUGUAUAACUUUUUAGAUAAUUUUGUGUUUUGCUGCAUUAAUGUUUGCAUACUAAUAUUUAGCAGCUUUGAAGUCGGGCUCUUCUGCUCCUCCUUUAGGAAACUUUCGUUUUUGUAUAAUAUUCUAAAGACCCAAUAAAAGAAAAUGAAGUUAUAUUUAAAAACA